CCUGACCCAAAGGAUGUGACAUUCCAGUUGUCUGAAACCGCAGAAAGCUCAGACACUGAAGAUGAAGGAGACAAGAUGUUGCAACCACGAGGGCUUUCAAAAUCUCGUGGGCAUCAAACACCAAAUCCAGAUGAGCGAUUUUUCCUGGUGGCAGAAUCCAG